GGGGAUGUAGCUCAGUGGUAGAGCGCACGCUUUGCAUGUGUGAGGCCCCGGGUUCAAUCCCCGGCUUCUCCA
rnacentral:tRNA from 1 species